rnacentral:rRNA from 1 species
CGUAGGCGGUUUCGGAAGUUAUGGGUGAAAGCCCCCGGCUCAACUGGGGAAUUGCCUGUAAAACCACGGAUCUGGAGUGCUGGAGAGGGAAGUGGAAUUCCCAGUGUAGCGGUGAAAUGCGUAGAUAUUGGGAGGAACACCAGUGGCGAAGGCGGCUUCCUGGACAGACACUGACGCUGAGGCGCGAAAGCCAGGGGAGCGAACG